ACCAGUCAUAUAUCGCAGUCGUAUAAAAAGAAGAUCCCUGCCCAUCUGCAGCCAGCUCCAAAAGGGAACUAACUUAGAACCUGUGAUUAAUGCAGAAGAAAAUCAGAAUGACAUUGUUAGAAAAAAAUGAGCACUGGUAUAUUUUAUAUUCCUGAUAAAUGUACCCAGCCUACUCUUUGGUUACACUUCUGUUCUUGACACAAUAAUCAUACAGGCCAGUGCUAGAGAACCAGCAGCUGCUGCCACCCUGGUAGGGAAGAGCAUCCGAGUCCUGCGCUUGUGGCUCCUGCACUCAAGACUGCGACCCCUUCCACAGGUACAUCCCCACAGUUCAGCCUGCAAGGCUGCACAUCUCUUCUGGCACUCUGGGAAACCAGCUACAAGCACCUCACUCAUCUGCAUUUAAGUAGAAAAUAAACCUCAGUUCUUUCAAGUCAAGCUCCCAAAAGAGAAUGACUGUGCAGGGAGGUGCUCUUGUUCCACAGGUUUUUAAAUUUUUGUUUACAAUAAGUUCUUCCAAAUACUGUCAUUAAACUAAGGACCCUGAGAAAAGAAAACCUGUAUAAAACAAGGUGGAAUUAAGAUGCACCCUUAAGGUAUAUAGGAUGACAUCAGAUAAAAUGAAAGAACAAAGUAGUUAACAAAGAAAACUAAGUAAGCAUCACAUGGUAUUUAUACAGAACAACUUCAAACAAUCUGAAGGAAGGAUAAACAGCAAAUAGAACAUCCUGUACUGCCUUGAAGUAGGCACAAUGGAUGCAAAGGAGGUAAGAACUCAGUGAAAGCUCUUUCUGACAGCCCAUUCUUGAGCCUUCUAACCCUACACUUAGGUCUUUAGACUUAAACCUACAUCUUCCACUGGAUCUCAAAAAAUUUGAAGAGAACUCCAAAAGUCUAUCUUGUGUAUUAAAGAAUGCAUGUAUAUUGAAGUAAAAGCAUGAGAAUUUA